rnacentral:rRNA from 1 species
GACGAACGCUGGCGGCGUGCUUAACACAUGCAAGUCGAACGGAAAGGCCCUGCUUUUGUGGGGUGCUCGAGUGGCGAACGGGUGAGUAACACGUGAGUAACCUGCCCCUGACUUUGGGAUAACUUCAGGAAACUGGGGCUAAUACCGGAUAGGAGCUCCUGCUGCACGGUGGGGGAUGGAAAGUUUCGGCGGUUGGGGAUUGACUCGCGGCUUAUCAGCUUGUUGGUGGGGUAGUGGCUUACCAAGGCUUUGACGGGUUGCCGGCCUGAGAGGGUGACCGGCCACAUUGGGACUGAGAUACGGCCCAGCCUCCUACGGGAGGCAGCAGUGGGGAAUAUUGCACAAUGGGCGGAAGCCUGAUGCAGCAACGCCGCGUGCGGGAUGACGGCCUUCGGGUUGUAAACCGCUUUCGCCUGUGACGAAGCGUGAGUGACGGUAAUGGGUAAAGAAGCACCGGCUAGCUACGUG